GGGGCCGACCGGUUUUGACAGCAUAGAGUCGGUUAUGUAAGCAUGUCGUGCGUUGGAUAAUUAGCACGUAAAUCUGAAUAUUCGAACUUUCAAAUGGCGAAUACAAUUACGCCAUGGCUGCCUAAUUAGAUUAGUGCAACCAUUUUGGCCGCAGAGGGCUUUUGCCUGUUGACGCCACUGCCGCCUAACUCAUCCUUCAACAGGAUAGCAAUUGUACUGCCACGAUACGAUUGUGAAACUUAAGUGGCUAGGUCAGUGAUAGGUUCGUCCGGCUCCGGUCAUUGUCCGAAAUUAAAUUCCGGAAUAAGCAUGUAGAAAGCAUAUCGGGCAUAUGUUUGGACGCGGGUUCGAAUCCCGCCGGCUCCACUU
rnacentral:tmRNA from 1 species